rnacentral:rRNA from 1 species
AUUGAACGCUGGCGGAAUGCUUUACACAUGCAAGUCGAACGGCAGCACGGGGGCAACCCUGGUGGCGAGUGGCGAACGGGUGAGUAAUACAUCGGAACGUGCCCAGUCGUGGGGGAUAACGUAGCGAAAGUUACGCUAAUACCGUAUACGAUCUACGGAUGAAAGCGGGGGACCGUAAGGCCUCGCGCGAUAGGAGCGGCCGAUGUCAGAUUAGGUAGUUGGUGAGGUAAAGGCUCACCAAGCCGACGAUCUGUAGCUGGUCUGAGAGGACGACCAGCCACACUGGGACUGGGACACGGCCCAGACUCCUACGGGAGGCAGCAGUGGGGAAUUUUGGACAAUGGGCGCAAGCCUGAUCCAGCCAUUCCGCGUGCAGGACGAAGGCCUUCGGGUUGUAAACUGCUUUUGUACGGAACGAAAAGGCUCUGGUUAAUACCUGGGGCUCAUGACAGUACCGUAAGAAUAAGCACCGGCUAACUACGUGCCAGCCGCCGCAGUAA